AGAGGACCCUGAAGUGGACCAGCUCCCCCAAGGAUACAUCCCUACACCUAAUUAUCAGCUUCCACUGGGACAUGAAUGCGGAGGCUGUAGGAGUAGGUGGCUGAAGCCAGUGAGGGCAUUAGGGUGGGAUCCUGGGCCCAGAGAUUUGUUCUGGCCAAAACCAGUCCUGCUUUGCACAGGCUUUAGAACAGCUGUCGUUCUUCCUCCAACACUGAAAUCCUCAUCUCUCCAGCCUUCAUUUUGAGCUGAAGCCAAAUGAUUUCCUGUGUUAUCUCUGUUUAUCAGCUCUCUAUUAUCAUGAUGGCCUGGGCCACCCACUCAAUAAAACAAAGCAAACAAACUCCCACAAACCCGCAGACAGCUCUGAGCUUACAGGCCUGCUUUUAUUUCCUAAUUAACAAGCCAUCCUUAGCCAAUCGGCUGAUCCGCUUGUCAUCCCUUUCAGAUUUGUGGGCAAACAAACCACCCCUGGGCCCCAGGCAAUAGCUCCGAGGCCUCAUCCCCUGCUCUUUGCUGGGGCUUCCUCCCUUUACGCCCCUGUUCUGUCUGUCUGCAGAUUUAAUAGGCUUGUAAGGCGGUCUGUUCAGACUGCCAUGGCCAAGGCUUCUGGACUAAGCCCCUCUCCCCUUCAGCUUCACAGCUCUGUUCUUUCGUCUUGCUCCACUUCUCAGUACUGAAUCCCUAAAAGGGGACGAGGCCCAACCAUUAGCAUGGUUAAUGCAGAGAACAUGCAGGCAACCUCUUCAUGACAAUUAGAUCUUAGACAGUGGCCGCUAUUUUCAGAGCCUCCUUCCAGUAGACUGGGUAGGGAAGCUCCAGGAUACCAGGGAGAGGAGGGGCGUCUGCCUCCCCGGAAGGCAAGCAGAUGCUCCCACGUGCCUCACUUGCCUCCCCGCCCGUCACAACCUCCUGUGGUCAGCAGCUCUGCAACCUUCAGCAAGUCACUCCCCAUCCCUGGGCCUUUGUCUUCUCACCUGUGAAAGAAACAGGUCAGGAUAAUUUGAGGUCUCGGAGGGCUGGUUCUCACACCAAACCUAGCCAGCAGGAUCAUCUUGCAGAUUUACGUCUAGCAAAACACAUUGGAAAACUGUGUCACACGCCACAGCCCGUGCCAAGAGACCAGGCUGGGGUUCUGGAAAUACAAAUCGUAAAGAAGAGAAGUCGCAGCAUAAAACAAACCCAAACCAACAAAUGUUCUUUCUUUCACCUUAUCUUAGUUCCAGAACUCCGCAUUUAAUGAAAUAUUUCAGGAUGGAAGAGGUGAGGACAGCAAACGUCUGCCCUGCUCCCCAGACUCUCUGAGCCACACUUCAACCCAGAGCAAAUUAAAGCACAGGCUCCUUAGACAGAAGUCCUAAUGAUGAGAGCAGAGAGCAAGCUGGAGGGUUCGGGGCUGAGCCCUGGCCAACUGCAAUAAUAAAACAGUGCAUGGACGUGGAGGCUUUGGAACAAAAAUACCUUGUAGCUAUUAUUUUCCUGAGUCUCUACCCAAGCAUACACCCCCUCUCCCAUUCUUUUAAUCUGGAGCUACUGAGAAGCGG
rnacentral:lncRNA from 1 species